CCGUGCAAAGGUAGCACAAUCUCUUGUCUCUUAAAUCGGGACCUGUAUGAAUGGCAUCACGAGGAUUUAACUGUCUCCCAUCACCAAUCAGUGAAACUAAUCUCCCUGGAAAAAGCGGGUUACUUAUACAAGACGAGAAGACCCUAUGGAGCUUUAAACUAAUAACACUUGCUCUACUUUCCCAUAACAUCCAGCAUAAUGCUUAUACGUUUUCGGUUGGGGUGACCCUGGAGAAAAACCUAACCUCCAUGCUGUUAAAUAUAAGAACCUCAAUUCUACAAUCAACAUACUGACACAAUUGACCCAAACAUUUGAUCAACGGACCAAGUUACCCUAGGGAUAACAGCGCCAUCCACUUCAAGAGUACAUAUCAACAAGUGGGCUUACGACCUCGAUG
rnacentral:rRNA from 1 species